UGAAGCUGCCAGCCUGAUCUUA
rnacentral:miRNA from 1 species